ensembl:snoRNA
AUACUUUUGUAGUUCAUAAGUGUGAUGAUUCGGUGUUCAUGCAGUCGUGUGAUAUGCGCCUCCCUGAAACCUUGUUAUGACACCAGCAUAUUACCCAUCUGAUG